GAUGAACGCUAGCGGCAGGCUUAACACAUGCAAGUCGAGGGGCAGCCCGAUGUAGCAAUACAUGGGUGGCGACCGGCGCACGGGUGCGUAACACGUAUGGAAUUUGCCCUUUACUGGGGGAUAGCCCGGAGAAAUCCGGAUUAAUACCCCAUAAUAGCUUGAGUGGCAUCACUUGGGUUUGAAAGCUCCGGCGGUAAAGGAUGACCCUGCGCCCGAUUAGCUAGUUGGUGAGGUAACAGCUCACCAAGGCUACGAUCGUUAGGGGGCCUGAGAGGGUUAUUCCCCCCACUGGUACUGAGACACGGACCAGACUCCUACGGGAGGCAGCAGUGAGGAAUAUUGCGCAAUGGAGGCAACUUUGACGCAGCCAUGCCGCGUGCAGGAAGAAGGCGCUACGCGUUGUAAACUGCUUUUAACCGGGAAGAAACCCCCGGACGUGUCCUGGGUUGACGGUACCGGAGGAAUAAGCACCGGCUAACUUCGUG
rnacentral:rRNA from 1 species